UUUUUCCUUUGUUUUGCCCAGUUCAUCCAAGUUAUUCUUCAUACUCAACUCUUAUCCUGAAAACACCAAAGUACAUUGUUAAAUUCAAUAAUAGUUACUUGAAAACACACAAUUAUCUUAAGAGAAAGGCGUAGAAUGUUCCAUCAAAAUCUGGGACAUCAACUGUCAUUAGGAUCACUAUCAUCACAUGGUCUUCUUGCAUCCAUGGGUGAAAUGGGUCCACUAGCUGCAUCACCUGGC
rnacentral:lncRNA from 1 species